rnacentral:lncRNA from 1 species
UUGGACCCGUUUCAGAGCAUUGUAAAGGAAAGAAUGAUCAAUUAGCAAUUGAAUUGAAAGUUUAUGUAUUAAAUUCCACAUUUUGAAAUUUGAAGGACUCGAAUUGAAAUAAAGAAGACAUGGAUUGCACAAAUAUAUAGACUCAAGGGACUAAAUUGCAUUAAUUAUAAAGAGUGAGCCCUUGAAAACAAGCAUCACAUUAUAUGAGCCUUUGAACAUGGUAAUUGGAAGAGAAUCAAAUUCUACUUAAACUAGAAUUCAAGAAAGCUGGUGGUAGGAAAGCCCGGUUGAAAUUGGAACCCUUUAUAUCAAGCUGGACCAAAAAAUCAAUGGGAAAAAUGAUGAAAGUCCAAAUGUUAACUAUCGUAGAGUCCAAUAAGGGAAAGAAAUAUACUGGUAUGUUUUACGUGACCUUGGAGUAUUCAUAAAUCUUUAAUGCAUUUUUAUAUAUUUAAAUCCGUCAUAAAAUAUAGUCGGGAUACCAUGUAAGAAUAUGUUUAAUUUUACUCGAAAGAGAUUGUUAAACAAAUUAGGAAUAUUAAUUUUCAUAAUUGAAUUGUGUUGUCAAAUUUAUAAGUUUUGUGGUUAGAGGGGAUUGAUAUUAAGGGACUCGAGAUCCUAUUAUGCUUUUCAUCAUUAAACUUUUAUAAAAUCUGCACUUAAUUAUAACUUUGCGUUGAAUUAAGUUAAGUUAAGGUCUUGAAUUCAUUAGUAGAUUAUUUAAUUGAUUGGAAAAAUUACAACUUUCAAUUGUUUCGGUUAAGGCUGAGUUAAUUUGAACUUAAGCAAGUACAAUCUCCGUGAGUACGAUACUUGGACUCAAAAUUCAUUUUACUACCUGUUAAUGAACUGUACAUUUACAGUAAUUUAAAUUGAAAAGAUAAUUUUCAUGACAAGUUUUUUUGGCACUGCUGUCGGGGAUGAUAACUAUAGUUUGAGUUUAAUUUAUUUUAGCACUAAUUUGAACUUCUAACUAUAUUCUUGUUUUUUUUUCCUAUUUUAUUUUGGUUUUUUCUUUCCUUUUCAGGAUAUAUAAAUGAACAAAAAUAGUAGGAUAAAAAAUAACCAUGGCUAUUUUCAAAAAAUGCUCAUAUGUGACUUUAACAUAAGGCAACAACAAUUAGUAGCGUAAGAAAUUGAUGAAGGGAAUAUGGUUGUGUGAGAUUUCAUUAUAGGACAAUGACUACAAGAUAUAAAAUAGAAUGUGAACUUGAUGAAACUCUCUUGGGUGACUUGUUACAUUAUUUCUCUUACCACAAUUCGACAUAGGUGAUUUGCCUAUGGAAUUAGUUCUUCCACCAGUUAUUAAUGGACAUCAGUAAAGAGAAUUAGUUAACCAAACUUCCUACAAAUACAAAAAAGGGGAAAGACUUUCCAUAAUGAUGUCAUUGUUUCUUUACCAAACGUUUUGGAUACGAACAUUGAAUUUGAAAAAAUGCUUAAAGAAGAGAAGCAUGAAAUUAUCUAGAAAUUAAUCAUAACAGAUCAAAAAGAAUUAGUAGCAUUCAAAGAUGAGAAAAUUAGCAUGCAAUCCUUUGACUUCAUCGUUUUCUCAAAAAUUGAGUUUGUGAUUAAAUCUUAUAAAGAAAUUGAGGUGUACAUUGUUGAGUUUGAAACGAGUGAUGGUGGUAAGUCAUGCUACUUGGAAAAGGACAAUGUUAAAAUUUAGUGGAAAGUUGCAAUAUGGAACAAAUUCAUAUUGAACAAGCUAAGCAAGAUGCAAAGAAUCAUGACACAUUUGUACCAAAAGUCAAGCUCUAGACUUUAAAUCGAGCGCUUAAUAGUAGGCAAUCCAAUUUUCUAUCACUUUUCACUUAUUUUGAUUAGCUGUUGCAUUACACGUAUUUUUAGGGAUUGCAUUAGCAAUUUAGAGCUAUAGAUAGGAAUUCAUGCAUUUAAUGAUUUUUAACACAUUUUAGGUAGUAUUUUAAGACUUACAUUAGUAACUUAGGCAUGUUUAUUUAUUAAGUUCAUUUAAUUUAG